rnacentral:rRNA from 1 species
UACGUAGGGUCCGAGCGUUGUCCGGAAUUACUGGGCGUAAAGAGCUCGUAGGUGGUUUGUCGCGUUGUUCGUGAAAACUCACAGCUCAACUGUGGGCGUGCGGGCGAUACGGGGCAGACUAGAGUACUGCAGGGGAGACUGGAAUUCCUGGUGUAGCGGUGGAAUGCGCAGAUAUCAGGAGGAACACCGGUGGCGAAGGCGGCAUCCUGGACCGGCAUUGACGCUGAGGCGCGAAAGCUAGGGGAGCAAACGGG